UGCCCAGCAACUCCUAUCCCUACCUCUUCGUGGUACUGGCCUGGGUACGAGUAACCUUGGGGAAGAUCGGGUAACCAACCCCCGGUGGGAACUUUGGUCGUAUGCAUACAGGGAAGG
rfam:Aedes aegypti strain Liverpool supercont1.333 genomic scaffold, whole genome shotgun sequence.